GAGUUUGAUCCUGGCUCAGAGUGAACGCUGGCGGCAGGCCUAACACAUGCAAGUCGAACGGCAGCGCAGCAGUAGCAAUACUGUGGGCGGCGAGUGGCGGACGGGUGAGGAAUACAUCGGAAUCUACCUUGUCGUGGGGGAUAACGUAGGGAAACUUACGCUAAUACCGCAUACGAACUACGGUUGAAAGCGGCGGACCGCAAGGCGUCGCGCGAUUGGAUGAGCCGAUGUCCGAUUAGCUAGUUGGCGGGGUAAAGGCCCACCAAGGCGACGAUCGGUAGCUGGUCUGAGAGGAUGAUCAGCCACACUGGAACUGAGACACGGACCAGACUCCUACGGGAGGCAGCAGUAGGGAAUAUUGGACAAUGGGCGCAAGCCUGAUCCAGCCAUGCCGCGUGCAGGAUGAAGGCCCUAUGGGUCGUAAACUGCUUUUGUACGGGAAGAACCUCACUACGUGUAGUGAGUUGACGGUACCGUGAGAAUAAGGAUCGGCUAACUUCGUGCCA
rnacentral:rRNA from 1 species